CCCACAGUAACGGCGAGUGAAUUGGGAAGAGUCCAGCGUCGAAUCUGCACGCUCUUGAAGCGUGCCGAAAUGUGAUGUAUGGAAGACCCUGUGCGGUCGCCGGCGAGCGUCGCUCUCCUUCUGAUCGAGGCCUCAUCCCAGUGCGGGUGUCAGGCCCAUGAGGGCGCUUGCCGCGGCCGCUUCGGGUCUUCCCGGAGUCGGGUUGCUUGAGAAUGCAGCCCAAAGUGGGUGGUAAACUCCACCUAAGACUAAAUACGGUCGCGAGACCGAUAGCGAACAAGUACCGUGAGGGAAAGUUGAAAAGCACUUUGAAGAGAGAGUUCAAAAGUACGUGAAACCGUUGAGAGGCAAACGGGAGAGCCCGUCCGGGGUCGGGUACGCUUUCAGUUGGGCGCGGUCGCGCGCUGCUGCAGUUGACGGACGCUUGCGCGCCGUCUCUGUUGUAGCAGGCGUGCCGUCCCAGCGCAUUAGCGUCUCGAGCAGGCCACGACCGGUUCGAAGUCGGCCAGAAGCGCCGCGCGAAGGUGGCCCACGCUUCGGCGGGGGUGUUACAGCGCGUGUGCGUCAUGGCCCGGCUGCGGACCGAGGAAGCGAUGCCGUGCGCGCUCCCCUUCGGGGGGGUUGGCGGCCGCCGUCGUUCGGCCGGUUGGUCGAGUCGUCGGGUACCGUUCGCGGUGCCCGCGGCUCGCCGGCCGCCGAUCGUGCGGUGAGCCGC
rnacentral:rRNA from 1 species